UACGUAGGGGGCAAGCGUUGUCCGGAAUCAUUGGGCGUAAAGCGCGUGUAGGCGGUUACGUAAGUCUGCUGUGAAAGUCGGAGGCUCAACCUUCGAAAGCCGGUGGAUACUGCGUGACUAGAGUACGGAAGAGGAGAGUGGAAUUCCUGGUGUAGCGGUGAAAUGCGCAGAUAUCAGGAGGAACACCGGUGGCGAAGGCGGGUCUCUGGGCCGUAGCUGACGCUGAGGCGCGACAGCGUGGGGAGCAAACAGG
rnacentral:rRNA from 1 species